rnacentral:piRNA from 1 species
UAUAAAGGCAUCGGCUAUUUCCUACCUACC